GGCUUCCGUCCUGGCUGGCGUGUCUUUUGACUUGUCCCGUUUCCACCCUUUGGUUCCAGGUAGUGCCAUGAGCCAAUAUGUGCUCCCCUUUGACUUCUGUUUCCUUUGCUUCCUUCCCAGAAACGCCCAUCUCCCAAGCCUCCCCACUCAGCAGGUGCUCAUUUAGUACCUUUCAUUUUUUUUAGGAAUCUGUUUUCCCUUCUCCUUUCUUGGCUGAGUGUAUCCGCACCUUGUGUGUCCUGGGAUCUGUGCAGACCAAGGUCUGCUUCUCCUGGCUCUUUUUUUUUUUUUUUGCCUGUGGGCAUUGUAGUUCUAAGUCCUAUUUCACCUUUUAUUUAACAUUUCUUUCUCUUUUUUCUCAUCUGCCCCUUCUUUUCACAUUUGCCCUGUCCUCAUCCCUACCUCCCACCCCCAUCUAAAAACUAGAGAAUUUAGACAUAUUCUAACUAGGAAACUUGUGAGUCUGCCAACUGGAGAAGUUAAUGAAGUUGAAGUCUAACAACUAGAAGGGGAGGAUACAGCAGGGAAGGGGUGUCCUGACUUCCCCCGGCAUCAUUUGUGAACUGGCCACCCUCUGGGUGGGAUGGAGACCCAGAGGUGCUGAGAGGCUGACACAGGCACGUGCUGGAGACAUCGCGUGAUGAGCACGGCUGUUUUUCUUUUCCCUUAAUGUUGCAAGUUAGUUUGGUUCACAUACCUCCCUUGAGAAAUGAAGGGAAGCUCCUGGGACUUGAUUAGCACAUGUGUCCGCGUCCUCUGGGCUGGGCACUGAUGAAGCAGAAUGUGGGCUCUUGGCACGGUCCCUGGACAGCCGGUAGGGCCAGAAGGAGGGGUACGGGUUCUCCCCGACCUGUAACAUCCUCAGAGAGGAACGGGAGCGCACUCUGAGCCUAGGCAAGGUUGUAACGCAGGUCCCAAAGGGCUGGGAAUGCAGUGCUAGGGAACAUGAAAGUGGACUCAGAAGAGCUCGGACACUUGGGUUCAGGCCACGACUUCACGCAAGAUGCUGACACCCGGAGACGUGAAGAAUGUGGGUGUCCCCUGUCUCGGUUGUGACUGUUGGCUGUGACUCCAGAACUAUCAUGGAUCAUGGAGUAGAAGCUUCGUGUUGAGAAUGGCAGAGCAUCUAGAGAAAAGGAAGGAACCUGGCUGACCGUGAGCUGCCCUCCUAGCCCUAUACUGGUUACUUCCAGACUUUAUUUACCUUUAUAACUUGUUACAUCCACUAUUAUUUUAGGUUUUUUGUGUCAGAGAGCCGCACUUCGCUGUUGAGAGUCCCUGUCGCUUUGACAUAGUCCAUGUGCCAAAGGGAAGCCGAUACUAUCUCUAAAUCUAGGGGUGGCUCGUAUGAUUUAUUUAAUACCAUCAUCCCUGCCCACAGUUGAUACAGGGAUGGGCGUGGGCCCCAUUUUGGACCAGUGAGGCUCGAGGGGAAUUUUGUUGGAGUGUCUGGGAAAGUUCUUUGUCCUUUUAGGAGAGUUUCUUAAAGUAGAAAUCCUGUUUCUCUUCUGCUGGAUGUUUUUGUGUAUGGCUGAAAUUGUUGCAGCUAUCUCAUGACCAGCCUGAGGAUGAAGCUGCACGUGGAAGAGAGCAGAGCCAAGAGAGUCAUGGGGACACUGAACUUGAGCCAAGUCAACUGUGAAGCCAGCCCUGCAUCUGGACUUCAGUCAUGUCAAUAAUUUUCCUUAUCGUUUAAGUCAAAAAUAGAUCCAAAUUGCUUACAAGAAUAGCAAAAUGGCUAAAAGUAUGAGCUCUAGAGUGAGAUGACCAGGGUGUGAAAUCCCAAGCAUACCAUUUCUUAGCUAUAAUAUGUGGAUAAUAAUAUUACUAAGCUGAAGUAAUCCAUGUAUUAGAUUUAGCACAAGCUGACAUAGAAAGCACUUAGAAAUGCCAUUAUUAUUAGUAUUUCAAACUGGUGAGAAAAGUGUAAGCUGUUCAAAAAAUCAUGUGAGAAUGAACAGCUAGCCACUUAAAGAAAAGAAAAAUGCCAUUCUAAUAAACAGAUUCAAAUUAUAUUAGGCAGUACUUUGUGAAAACUAAAAGAAUACAGUAUGGAUGAAUAUAUAAUCUCAAGGUAAGAGAUACUUUUAAAGCAUGAACUCAAAGGCAUAUGCUCUAAAGGAAGAGAUAAAGAGAUCUGAAUAUAUGAGAUUUAAACAGCGUCAGUGUACUCAAAAUGCUCACCACUGCCUCCCUACACAGAUCCCCUUCAAAAAGGUUUUGCAUUUCCAUCCACAGAAGAUCAGGUCAGUGGUGGUUAAUGUGCACAAUGGCUUGAACACUCAUCAGGUCUCUCUCAAGAAACUGAAAUAAGCAACUCUAGGAUUCUAAUUAGCUGCUGUGAACUUUGAACUAAAACUUUAUAUAAGACUUGGACUUGAGUAACCAUUUACAGUCAUGGAAAGGGCUAAGUAAACAGACAAAAAAAAUAGGCAGCCACAUGGAGGAGACAAAGAAAAUAAGCAUUAAAAUUGGAGCUAAAUAAGAGCUAAAGUUUAUUUAGCUCUUUUAUAUAAUUUAAAGUCUCAAGGCUAAGUCAUUGCCUACAGUUGCAGAGUUGGAGAACUAGAAUUCAAAAUUUGAUUCUAGUGGCUCACACACAUGAUGAUGUUUGCUCUAUAGAAGUCAUUGUUCUUUAUAUGAGUGUUUCUUAGGAGCCAUGCGUCAAAUCCAACCUUUCCUGGAGUGGGUGAAGAUUCUCUCUACUUGACAGUUAAGCCCCAAAUAGGCAAAAUUUAUGAAAAGCAGAAAUAUUUACACUUUUAAGCUGACAGCUGCUGUGAAAGUGCUGCACUUAAUAGGCCAGCAAAUUUGGAAAACUCAGCAGUGGCCCCUGGACUGGAAAAGGUCAGUUUUCA